rnacentral:sRNA from 1 species
UUGACAGCUACAGAGCCGAAAGUCCCAUUUAUCCCCAGAAAGCACCAAAAACUGCUAUGCAAGCUUCUCCCACACUGCCCCACCAAUGUGUCUCAAACUCUUCUUUGGGGAGAAGCAAUGAGGUGGAAAGCAGACAAGUCCCCAUGGCGUCAUUCGUUAGCUCAC